rnacentral:rRNA from 1 species
CCUACGGGAGACAGCAGUGAGGAAUAUUGGUCAAUGGGCGGGAGCCUGAACCAGCCAAGCCGCGUGAGGGAAGAAGGUACAGCGUAUCGUAAACCUCUUUUGUCAGGGAACAAAGGCGGGGACUAGUCCCCGGAUGAGGGUACCUGAAGCAAAAGCAUCGGCUAACUCCGUGCCAGCAGCCGCGGUAAUACGGAGGAUGCGAGCGUUAUCCGGAUUUAUGGGGUUUAAAGGGUGCGCAGGCGGCCUGUUAAGUCAGCGGUAAAAGCCCGGGGCUCAACCCCGGCGAGCCGUUGAAACUGGCGGGCUGGAGUUGGAGAGAAGUACGCGGAAUGCGCGGUGUAGCGGUGAAAUGCUUAGAUAUCGCGCAGAACCCCGAUUGCGAAGGCAGCGUACCGGCUCCACACUGACGCUGAGGCACGAAAGCGUGGGUAUCGAACAGGAUUAGAUACCCGAGUAGUC